AUGUGUGCACACACAGAUGCAGCAGGCCACACCCCACCCCCAGGCUGCAGGGAAGUGAAACCCUGCCCCAGGGAAGCGAAAGACUGUGAGCCCCGGCUUCCAAUGGGCCUUUGUGGGAACGGAACCCACAGUCCUCUGUCUCUGGAGCUGUCUCAAGGCAUUCUAGCAUCAAUGUCGGGGCGGCUGGCCCUGCCCUCCCUGCUGCUGGCCGUGGUCGUGUCUUCUUUCUGCCCAGCCACGUCCACGUCCGGAGAUGAAACGCGAAACCAGCUGUUGACGAGAGAGAAGAUGAUGCGGGUAGGGGGGCAGUUGGUGCUGACGCGGGAGGAGGAGCUGGCCAACCAGAGGCUCAGGGCCCUCAAGGAGGCUGAGAUGCGUGAGGCCCUGCGUACAGGGAGCAUCCUGCCCAGCAUGCACUUCUUCCAGGCCAAGAGCCUUAUUGAGAAAAGCAAGGUGUUUAACAUCCUGAAGAAGAUGCCUAAAGGGGCUGCACUUCACGUCCACGACUUCAGCAUCACCAGCCCGGACUGGCUGGUGAAAAAUGCCACAUACAGACCCCACUGCUAUUUUUGCUUCACCCGGAGGGGGACCCUGCAGUUCAGAUUUGCUCAUCCUGCUCCCCCCACCCCGAAGCUGGCAGAAUGUCCCCAGUGGGUUUUGCUGGAGAAGUUUCGAAAGGGGCUGCACAACGUCUCGGACUUUGACAACAGCCUGCUGAGAAAUUUCACUCUGAUGACCGAGAACCCCCACGUGACUUACGCAGACCAGGAUGCGAUCUGGGCCAAGUUCAAGACCAUCUUCUUUGUGCUGAGGGGCCUGGUGAGCUACGCACCCGUGUUCCGGGACUACCUGUCCCAGGGCCUGGAGGAGUUCUACCAGGACAACGUGCUCUACCUGGAGAUCAGAGCCUCGCUGUACCCGGUGUAUGAACUGAAUGGGACGGUCUACAGCCAAGAGUGGUUGGUGAGGACUUAUGAAGAAGUGGCUCAUAAUUUUGCAAAAGCGCAUCCUGGGUUUAUUGGAAUCAAACUCAUUUUUUCAGAUAACAGAACCAAAAACGAGUCCCUCAUCAAGAAAUCCAUCCAGACAGCCAUGGGUCUUCGAGUCAAGUUCCCUGGGAUAGUGGCGGGGUUUGACCUGGUGGGGCGCGAGGACACGGGCCACACCCUGUAUGACUACAGGGAGGCUUUGAUGAUUCCAGCCUCUCAGGGCGUUCAUCUGCCUUACUUCUUCCACGCGGGAGAGACUGAUUUGGAGGGAACUCCCGUAGACAGAAAUCUUCUGGAUGCUGUGAUACUGAACUCGACCCGGAUCGGCCAUGGGUUUGCUUUGAGCAAGCACCCGGCAGUCUUGGCUGAAGCCUGGAAAAAGGACAUCCCCAUUGAAGUCUGUCCCAUCUCCAACCAGGUCCUGAAGCUGGUGUCCGACCUGAGAAACCACCCCGCCGCCGUCAUGAUGGCUGCUGGGUACCCCAUGGUGAUCAGCUCAGACGACCCCUCAGCCUUUGGGGCCAGAGGCCUGUCCUACGAUUUCUACGAGGCCUUCAUGGGCAUCGGCGGAAUGUCGGCCGACCUGAGGACGCUCAAACAACUGGCCAUCAACUCCAUCAGGUCCUAG
rnacentral:lncRNA from 1 species